GGGGCCCAGUCCCACAGCAGAGCCCGCCCGGGCUGGCCUAGCCGAGAUGGGGAUCUAGGCCAACCCUGUCACCUCCUCCCUGGCCUGAAAGAAAAUACAGCAUUCCCAGGUGGGACGAAGGAAGAGGAAAGGAAGAGUAAAACCAAGACAACUUGGGGAUCAAGAUAAAAACUGUUUAAUAAGUGAAAGAGAAGAUCAAGAAGAGAGGAACAAAACAAAACAAGUCAUGCAAAGCUGAUCAUUAACCACUUCUCACAGACAGAUUGACAGCUUGUCCUAAGAUGGACUAAACCCCUUUUUUUCAUCUUUCGCUUGCUGAGCUCAACACUAUAGCAUGAAUAAGAAAGAAGGCCUUGAUGCUGUUCAGCAAUAGCCAAAACAUCAGUGUGCUAUCAGUACCAUUUUGGUCAUAAAUCUAAAAUAUAGCACCAUACCAACUGCUGUGAAGAAAUCUGUCCCAGCCAGGCUUGCUCCACAAGAGAUUUCUGAGGAAACACAGGCACAGGUUUUUGUUCUGUUUUGGAAGAGUCUAAGAAAGGUUUGAACAAUAUUUCAGAAAUAUUUCAUUUUCAGCAGAUAUCACAUAUCAGGAAGUUAUCACAUAACAUUUCCUACCUUGACAACAUAAAUUUCAGCUUUAUCAUUUUCAAGUGAUCCCAAGGAUCCCAGAAAGCUGAAGGUUCAGUAUCCUAAUGAAAGUUAGACCUUCUAUCUGAUCCAAAUAGCCACAGGGCUCUAAUGUACUGUUCCUUAUUCUUUCUUCAUACCAACUUUCAGAUUCAUUUGACAUGGAAUAAACCAUCCUCUAUAAAUGUGAGCAGUGUUUACGAUACUCGGACUUGCAAAACAAUUCUUAAAAAUAGAAAAUAAACUCUCAUAAUGUCCCACCUGCUGCAGAAUACCAGCAAUUAAACUUAGGUUUUUGAAACCAUGUGAAGUUCUUUGAAAUUCUCUGCUUUAUGAUAAUGACAGAAAAAAGAAAUAACUCAAGCAAUUAUAAUUUCAAUUUUUGUUUAACACGAUAUGGUGAAAUUCUACAUUCAUGGCAAUUUUCAGCCUCAUCUAAACCUCACAAGUGAUUCUGGAAGCACUUCAGUUGAGAACUCUGCAGUUACAUGAACUCUGGCAGACUAAAUGUGUCAAGUCUGUUCUGUGCCACUGAGAGCAAGUGCUUUGGCAUGCAUGCAAAAAUCCCUUCUAUUUCGGAACAGAGAAGCCUUAUCUACACUGGUUAUCAGAAAUUGCCAGUGACCUACAAAGUAUAUGCAUGUGAUAUAAUACAAAGAAGAGUGAAUGGACAUAGGAAAAGAUUUUUUUAGGCUCACAUGCAGGAUCAUCAUCAGUCAGUUCAGCAGUGUGUAUUAAUCUACAUCCUCGGACUGUUUGAUACAGUUUUCCAUGGAACAAGUUAUGGCAGAUAAACAAAACAGCUUUCAAAAAUAAUUUGCAACUAUCCAAGCUUUUACUUACCCAAAUGCGGUGGAUGGCAAUAAAGUACAAAGAAUAAGGAGCUCCUUUUCCUUUCAGCUACCAGAAUACACCUCUACAGAAGUACACCAGAAGCAUGGCAAACCUUGAUAAUAUUGGCAUAAAGAACAGCAAGACUGAGUUUUUCAAUUCUUGCUCUCAUGUUAGGAAAACCCUUUUCCUUUGCUUGUGACAGCAAGUGAAAUACAGCACUUGAAAUUUAGCCGGUAGCAACAUGAAUCCAAGAUUAGGGAGGUCCUACCUCCAGGUAACUGAAAGCAAAGCAAGCUGAGAUUGUACAUGAAUGUCAAAAAUAUAAAAAAUGGAAAUCUGACAGCCACCACUGUUAGUUGGGGUUUUUUUCAUAGUUCUUUUAGAGAAGGCAGUAAUUUUAACAAGCGUAAUAAUUUGCAUAUGUUGAGAACCUGCUUUCACAUUUGGAUUUAAUACUUUUGAAAGGAAUGGAGUGCAAAAUUUUUUUCAGAUACUUGAUGUAGUGAUAAAAUGAUUAGAAGUAGUAUAAAUCUUGAAGUAUUAUUAUUGUUGUUGU